rnacentral:lncRNA from 1 species
CCUGCUUUGACCGGGAACCAAAGAGCCAAUACACCAACAACCAAGGAACGGGAGUGGGUGGUCCCUAGGAACGCCCUUCUUUGAGUAAGUCCUUGGUCUAAGUGCUGCCCUAUCUAGUUAUCCCGGUAUCGGUCUUUCAAUAGUCUCUGGCGUUCAGACGCUAGUUAUUGAGCUCCCCUGGUCUGAGAAGGUAGCUCUCCUAGUAGCAGUUGUCAUUGCUACUCUACUAUGGACCAACCUAUCACCUAUCCUUGUACAUAACUGCAUUUGUAAUAGAAUAGGUUCUUCUUUCUCUGUGCUAUAUCCCAAAGGCUUUCAUUCGUAGCAUCAAUCAAGUCAGUUUAUGAAGGGAAAUCCGUUGAACAAAUCACUCCGUGCCUCCCC